rnacentral:rRNA from 1 species
CGUAGGGCGCAAGCGUUAUCCGGAAUUAUUGGGCGUAAAGCGCUCGUAGGCGGUUUGUCGCGUCUGCCGUGAAAGUCCGGGGCUCAACUCCGGAUCUGCGGUGGGUACGGGCAUACUAGAGUGAUGUAGGGGAGACUGGAAUUCCUGGUGUAGCGGUGAAAUGCGCAGAUAUCAGGAGGAACACCGAUGGCGAAGGCAGGUCUCUGGGCAUUAACUGACGCUGAGGAGCGAAAGCAUGGGGAGCGAACAGG